rnacentral:lncRNA from 1 species
UGAUUUGUUCAUCCAGCAAAAAAAUUUUCACCAAUUAUUUUAUCUUUUGUGGGAGUCUGAUGAUUAUUAAUUUUCCACAUCUGAUUUAAUUACAAACUGCAUAAAUAUUAUUAAUGUUUCUUUCAAAUGAAAUUUAGGAGAAGAUUUUUAGCUGCCAUUAGAUUGGCAUCACUGUCUUCAUGUUGGUGAGAUCCUUUCAAGCUUUCUAUCUAGCAGCUCCUUUUUACAUUGGUCUUUUUAGACACAUCAUAAAUAGCAGUAGGUAGGUAUAUUUAUCUAGGUUGCUUUAUGGUGAUGAUAUGCAUAACAAUUUGCCAAUUGAUAUUCAUGCUUUCAGUGAGGAAUUAGGAAAACCUGGGUUGAAAAUUUCCUUUAUCUUGCACCGGACUAUGUGAUAAAGUAUUCUCACUACUCAAACACAAGUUGCAUGCCUUUUUGUGGAACUUCAUUGAGGUAAUACUCAGAAAAACUGUAUUAUAAUCCAAGAUUAAAGUAAGUUACACUAGCUUAAAUAUUUUCCACUCAUUUUACAACUGCUCAUUGUCUUGGUCAUGAGAUCGUAUCUGAAUUCAAAGUGGCUGUUUUCUGACACCUAACUGUUCGACAUAAUUUACAACUCAUUCAUCCGACUGCUAGUUAGUAGCUGCAACUCACCACAGAAUUUCAUGAGAUCAUGGAGAAUUCCAAAGUAUAAUCCCCGAGGUUGAGCAAAAAUGUGUUUUGAACCUAAUUAUUUCAACUUUGUUAAUACAAAGUGAAUGUCGAGAUAUUCUGAAUUAGAUGUAUAUGCUUCUAAAUUCAAUAAUCUUACUCUAAUAUGACUAGAUCUUUCCUCACCAGUGUUGUCAAGGGGGCGAUGAGAAGCUUACUUGGGUCCUGAAGUGAGGUGAAGCCUGAGCAUCUCAAGGGGUCUCAGGCGAGGC